GACGAACGCUGGCGGCGCGCUUAACACAUGCAAGUCGAGCGAAGCGGCGGACGGGUGAGUAACACGUGAGUAACCUGCCUUAGACAUUGGGAUAGUCUCGGGAAACCGGGAUUAAUACCAAAUGGUCUAAGAUGGACUCGCGGCCCAUUAGCUAGUUGGUGGGUAACGGCCAACCAAGGCGAUGUUGGGUAGCCGGCAUGGGAUGGUGCACGGCCACAUUGGAACUGAGAAACCGUCCAACCUCUACGGGAGGCAGCAGUGGGGUAUAUUGCACAAUGGAGGGAACUCUGAUGCAGCGACGCCGCGUGAACGAAGAAGUCUUUCGAGUCGUAAAGUUCUUUUAUAUGGGACGCGGUACCAUAAGAAAAAGCCCCGGCUAACUACGUGCCAGCAGCCGCGGUAAUAC
rnacentral:rRNA from 1 species